UUCCACCUGCUGCUUGAUCUUCCGAUGCUAUUCGCAGCCCUGCAUGCUUCAUUAACAUCACGAGCAUGCGCGGCCAGUUACACUGGCAGAGGUGAUUGAGUUGCCAGUCACUAAGGACCCAACCCCAGAUCCGGUGGUAAUUACAAAAAUCCAGCCAUAUAAUGGAGAGCUUGUUGCAGAGCAGGGGCUGCAAUGUAGACUACUGUGGGUGCCCAACAGCUCUGCACCAGCACACAGGGAAGUCCAACGGAGAAGACGGUGCUGGAGACAGAGCAGAGAGCUGUUGCAGUUAAACUGGUGUAAGAAGAGUUAUUUAAAUAUGUCUGCAUCGGUUGGUUUAUGUCACUAUGGAAUAUAAAACCAAUAUACAGUGGCAGAGGUUUGUAUAAAGCCACUACUAUAAAAAGCCAGGUGUAACUUCCCAGGUGCAGCACCUGUUGCUUACCCAUUUGCUUAUAUAUAAAUGAAUAUAUAAAUGAAGCAAUCACUUUCACUAGUUAACCUGCUCACUCCAUGUCUCUCACACAAACAUGCAUUCUGGUAUGGAAAAAAUAUUAACAGCAUGACCUAUUACUUCUUGGAUGUGGGCUGGAACUGGCGGUAGCCACAAUUUAUUUUAUUCAAACAAAAGGUCAGCGUAGGAGUGAACUGGUCUUAUUAAGCGUAAUGAUCACUACAGCACUAAUGCUGAGAAUGAAAACGAAGUCUGUUUGAUACUGCCAGCGUGACAUGAAAAUCUGAAGUCUACCUAUUUAUAUGCUGGGUAGCAGAAUGUAUGGAGCAGAGGUUCUCUACAUGGAGUCUCAGAAGAGCAAUGAUUUUCUUUUAGCCGUUGAGAUGCAGGUCAGUGCCUUCUAGGCCACGGCAAAAAAACCAAAUGGUUGAUCCCUGCUCGUAUAAAGCAUGGUGCAUGCUCUGACAUAUAAUUCAGAGCCAUAGCAGGACCCAAGCUGGCAACUCCUGCCCCCAGCCACAUGACAUCAUGACCUAGCUUAUGGCAGAGGUGGCCAAACGUUGAACGCGAUCGACUAGUCGACCACAGACACUCGACCAGUCUAUCGCGAUGGACGGUCUGCAGUUACUUUGCAGUUACCUAUACUUUUUGACGUUACCAAUACAAGUAUCCAAGUGCCGCCCCUAGGCACACGCAAUCAGUGCCUAAUGGGAAAUUCACCACUGGAUCCUGGACCAAUGAAGACUAGUGGGCAUGUCGGCAACAGCAGCUCUGAAGUCACUGAGGCUGCGGCUGCUGGACUGCCAUGGCUGAGAGCAGGGAGAGAAUGGGAGCUCCUCUCUCUGGCAUAUCAGGAGUUUAUUUGUAGCGAUGGUUGCGAUAAUGUUCCAGUCGGGGUACAAAAAAACAAUUCUCAUUUCUUGCGGACUAAAAACAUUUAAGCCAUCAAAAUAGGAGCAAUACACGCUGAACCAAGGGGAUUUUUUGGGGAUUACAGCUUCAAGCAAAACACAGUCAAAUGUGUUCUAUCUGGAUAAAACCAGGAUGAAAGAUCUUUGAGGAUUGUAACGUACAGGAUUAAAAAGGUUCAACCUUUACAUGGAAUUGUUAUAUUUUAGAUCAAGUAAAAAUGAGGGAUGUUAAACCAUAUUUGAGGCACAAGGCUCAUUGCAUGAAUAAUAACUGAAUUGGGGGAUGAUUUAUAAAAACUUGGAGAGAGAGAGAUAAAGUACCAGCCAGUCACUGUAAUGUUACAGGCUGUGUUUGAAAAAUUACAAUUAGGAGUUGAUUGGCUGGUAGUUUAUCUAUCUCCUCUUUAUCUCUCUCCAAGUUUUAAAAUUUAGAACAGCUACGAUCAUCUUCCCUAACAUGUGGGGGUGACGACCAGCACAGGGCUAGUCCGCCCCGCAUGUCAGUCCGGCUACCGCCCCGCAGAAGUGCAA